rnacentral:rRNA from 1 species
GACGAACGCUGGCGGCGUGCCUAAUACAUGCAAGUUGAGCGCUGAAGGUUGGUACUUGUACCAACUGGAUGAGCAGCGAACGGGUGAGUAACGCGUGGGGAAUCUGCCUUUGAGCGGGGGACAACAUUUGGAAACGAAUGCUAAUACCGCAUAAAAACUUUAAACACAAGUUUUAAGUUUGAAAGAUGCAAUUGCAUCACUCAAAGAUGAUCCCGCGUUGUAUUAGCUAGUUGGUGAGGUAAAGGCUCACCAAGGCGAUGAUACAUAGCCGACCUGAGAGGGUGAUCGGCCACAUUGGGACUGAGACACGGCCCAAACUCCUACGGGAGGCAGCAGUAGGGAAUCUUCGGCAAUGGACGAAAGUCUGACCGAGCAACGCCGCGUGAGGGAAGAAGGGUGUCGGAUCGUAAAACUCUGUUGGUAGAGAAGAACGUUGGUGAGAGUGGAAAGCUCAUCAAGUGACGGUAACUACCCAGAAAGGGACGGCUAACUACGUG